rnacentral:rRNA from 1 species
AGUGAACGCUGGCGGUAGGCCUAACACAUUCAAGUCGAACGGCAGCACAGGAGAGCUUGCUCUCUGGGUGGCGAGUGGCGGACGGGUGAGGAAUACAUCGGAAUCUACUCUGUCGUGGGGGAUAACGUAGGGAAACUUACGCUAAUACCGCAUACGACCUACGGGUGAAAGCAGGGGAUCUUCGGACCUUGCGCGAUUGAAUGAGCCGAUGUCGGAUUAGCUAGUUGGCGGGGUAAAGGCCCACCAAGGCGACGAUCCGUAGCUGGUCUGGGAGGAUGAUCAGCCACACUGGAACUGAGACACGGUCCAGACUCCUACGGGAGGCAGCAGUGGGGAAUAUUGGACAAUGGGCGCAAGCCUGAUCCAGCCAUACCGCGUGGGUGAAGAAGGCCUUCGGGUUGUAAAGCCCUUUUGUUGGGAAAGAAAUCCAGCUGGCUAAUACCCGGUUAGGAUGACGGUACCCAAAGAAUAAGCACCGGCUAACUUCGUGCCAGCAGCCGCCGUAA